rnacentral:rRNA from 1 species
UUCCCCUAGUAACUGCGAGUGAACCGGGAAAAGCUCAAAUUUUGAAUCUGGCGGUCUUCAGGCCGUCCGAGUUGUAAUCUAGAGAAGCGUCUUCCGCGCUGGACCGUGUAUAAGUUUCCUGGAAUGGAACGUCGUAGAGGGUGAGAAUCCCGUCUUUGACACGGACUGCCAGGGCUAUGUGAUGCGCUCUCGACGAGUCGAGUUGUUUGGGAAUGCAGCUCAAAUAGGGUGGUAAAUUCCAUCUAAAGCUAAAUACAGGCGAGAGACCGAUAGCGAACAAGUACCGUGAGGGAAAGAUGAAAAGAACUUUGGAAAGAGAGUUAAACAGUACGUGAAAUUGCUGAAAGGGAAACGCUUGAUGUCAGUCGCGUCGGCCGGGGAUCAGCCUUGCUCUUUUGCUCGGUGUAUUUCCUGGCAGACGGGUCAGCAUCGGUUUUGACCGUCGGAAAAUGGCUGGAGGAAUGUGGCACUCCUCGGAGUGUGUUAUAGACUCUGGUCGAAUACGACGAUUGGGACCGAGGAACUCAGCACGACCUUAGGGUUCGGGGCUUCGGCUCACGUUAACGUGCUUAGGAUGCUGGCAUAAUGGCCUUAAGCGACCCGUCUUGAAACACGGACCAAGGAGUCUAACUCGCAUGCGAGUGUUUGGGCGAUUAAAACCCGAGCGCGUAAUGAAAGUGAAAGUCGAGACCUCUGUCGUGAGGGCACCGACGCCCGGACCCGAGCUUCUGCGAAGGAUCUGCGGUAGAGCAUGCGUGUUGGGACCCGAAGAUGUGACUAUGCCUGAU